rnacentral:rRNA from 1 species
CAUGCAGUCGAGGGGUAACAGAGGUAGCUUGCUACUUGCUGACGACCGGCGCACGGGUGCGUAACGCGUAUAGAAUCUACCUUAUACUGGGGGAUAGCCUUUGGAAACGAAGAUUAAUACCCCAUAGUAUGUUUGAAUGGCAUCAUUUGGACAUUAAAGUUUCGGCGGUAUAAGAUGACUAUGCGUUCUAUUAGUUUGUUGGUAAGGUAACGGCUUACCAAGACUACGAUAGAUAGGGGUCCUGAGAGGGAGAUCCCCCACACUGGUACUGAGACACGGACCAGACUCCUACGGGAGGCAGCAGUGAGGAAUAUUGGACAAUGGAGGCAACUCUGAUCCAGCCAUGCCGCGUGUAGGAAGACUGCCCUAUGGGUUGUAAACUACUUUUAUAUGGGAAGAAUAAGGUCUACGUGUAGACUGAUGACGGUACCAUAAGAAUAAGCACCGGCUAACUCCGUGCCAGCAGCCGCGGUAAUACGGAGGGUGCAAGCGUUAUCCGGAAUCAUUGGGUUUAAAGGGUCCGUAGGCGGGCAUAUAAGUCAGUGGUGAAAGUCUGUGGCUCAACCAUAGAAUUGCCAUUGAUACUGUAUGUCUUGAAUUAUUGUGAAGUGGUUAGAAUAUGUAGUGUAGCGGUGAAAUGCUUAGAGAUUACAUAGAAUACCGAUUGCGAAGGCAGAUCACUAACAAUAUAUUGACGCUGAUGGACGAAAGCGUAGUAGCGAACAGGAUUAGAUACCCUGGUAGUCUACGCCGUAAACGAUGGAUACUAGUUGUUUGGUUUUCGGACUGAGUGACUAAGCGAAAGUGAUAAGUAU